rnacentral:lncRNA from 1 species
AGUCUUCACCAGUGAACUGAUACUGAUCCGAUUCCGUGUCGUUAAAAAACGGAUUUUUUGAGGGCCGUAGAACGGAUUGGUUUCCGUUCUCUAACGCUAGAGUCGCAUGAAGGCAAUAACGUUAUGCCUACCCUCUAGCGCCUCUAGCUGAUUCAUAAUCGGAUUCGUUUCAGUUAACCGAUUUUUGACAAAGCAGCGCGUUGUUCAAAUCAGUGAGCGGACCCGUUUCCGUUCACAGAUCCGUUUCAGUUUAUUAUCAACUUGUUUUUAUAAUAAGAAGCCGAAACCUUUCCAUUAUUUGAACGGAUUCGUUUCCGUUUCCAUAGCACGUUUUUAGUAAACAAACUGUUUGCUUAUUAGAAUAACGUACGUGCUUAAUGUGAGUGCAAUAUUUUGUUUUCAAUAAUGCCUAUGUCAGAACAAUUAAGGAAAAUGGUUGCUGAAGGGAAAAUCAAAAAAAAAGACCCAGGGCAGAAUCAUGGACUGCAGGAAAGAGAUGGGAUAGAUUAAAAACUGUAAAACAAAAAUUAGAAACCCUUCAUGGAGAAAAUGAGGUGCAAUAUGCAACUAAGGACGAUUCUGGCUCAGCUGUUUCAUUGCAUGAAUCAAGUGUUGUUGGACACGAUGCAUUAGACUUAGGCCAGCCAGCCAAUUCCGCCGUAGCCGCCAACAAAUCGUCAUUGGUAAUAAUCUUGGAAGGCUUCGACGCAGAAGAAGUUGGAAGCAGAUAUGUGGAGGUUAAAGAAGCAUCAAAUGGUGCUGUUAAGACAUGGGAGAUCAAGCAAGUACCAAGUCGCUGGACUGAAGCAGAAUUUAAACAGUUUAUAGAAACUCAAUUUGUAAAUUGAUGCUUUCUUUACUUAUUUAUUUUUUUUUUGCUUUUUUUAAUAUUUGGUACUACCAUACUACCAUACCAGCAUUGCACUAGUGUAAUGCUACUAAAACUGCCAUUCCCUUUUACUCUUUCACUGACACAAACCAGUAUUAAAUUAUGUGUUUUUACCGUUGGCCUGUCGGUUCCCCCGUCGGUGGCUGGAACACUGUGCCGCAACUCGUAAAAUUCUCUAAAAGAAGACGUGUUUUCCAGUGAAAACAUGCGUUGUGGUUUAUUGCAUUUCAAUAUCUUCCAAUUCAGAAAAAUGUGAUAAAGAAAAGUUAAAACGGCUUGUUAAAUUUUUCAACAUUGCAGUCCUAUUAUACGGAUUAAUAUAUUAAGUCUGUAAUUUUAUGUGGAAGUUAAACCCUGAUGUAUGUGUAAUUGUAUGUGUGUCAUUCGGUGGUCGGCGGCUUGGUGGUUGGAAUCAUUAUGAGCGUUAAUAAGUGAAGAAGUGCUUCCGUCCUUCACAUUCGGUGACUGUCAGAUUCAAAUAAACAAGUGACAAGAA